rnacentral:rRNA from 1 species
GGUAGGGGAGCGUACUGUACGGGUAGAAGGCAAAGCGUAAGCUAAGCUGGACUGUACAGUAGAGAGAAUGCCGGCAUGAGUAACGAGAGUAAGGUGAGAAACCUUACCGCCGGAAGCCUGAGGUUUCCUGGGGAAGGGUAAUCCACCCAGGGUAAGUCGGGGCCUAAGCCGAGGCGAGAGCGUAGGCGAUGGGGAACCGGUAGAGAAUCCGGUACCACCGAGGGCCGGUAAGAGAAGUGGGGACGCAGCGAGAUAGGUGGAGCGUGCGGUUGGUAGGGCACGUCCAAUCAGGCACCGAAGGGUACGUAGGCAAAUCCGCGUACAGGCAGGGGUCUGAGAAGGGGAGCCGGAAGGCGAAGCCACCGAAGCAGCUGCCGAGAAAAGCCGCUAUCGAGGUCCAAGGUGCCCGUACUGCAAACCGACACAGGUAGGCGAGGAGAGGAUCCACAGGCGAGCGGGAGAACCCUCAUUAAGGAACUCGGCAAAAUGACUCCGUAACUUCGGGAGAAGGAGUGCCGAAAGGCCGCAGAGAAGAGACCCAAGCGACUGUUUACCAAAAACACAGGUCUCUGCUAAGUCGGAAGACGAAGUAUAGGGGCUGACGCCUGCCCGGUGCUGGAAGGUUAAGGGGAAGUGUGAGAGCACUGAACCGAAGCCCCAGUGAACGGCGGCCGUAACUAUAACGGUCCUAAGGUAGCGAAAUUCCUUGUCGGGUAAGUUCCGACCCGCACGAAAGGCGUAACGACUUGGGCGCUGUCUUGAUGAGGGGCCCGGUGAAAUUGUAGUACUCGUGAAGAUGCGAGUUACCCGCGAUUGGACAGAAAGACCCCGUGGAGCUUUACUGUAGCCUGUCACUGGAUUUUGGUAAUUCUUGUACAGGAUAGGUGGGAGACGGAGAAGGUAGGGCGCCAGCCUUACUGGAGUCGGCGUUGGGAUACCACCCUGGGAUUACCGGAAUUCUAACCUAUAGCCGUGGAACCGGCGUAGGGACAAUGGCAGGUGGGCAGUUUGACUGGGGCGGUCGCCUCCUAAAGGGUAACGGAGGCGCCCAAAGGUUACCUCAGCGCGGACGGGAAUCGCGCGAGAGAGUGCAAAGGCAGAAGGUAGCCUGACUGCGAGAGAGACAUCUCGAGCAGGGACGAAAGUCGGGCUUAGUGAUCCGGCGGCAGUGAGUGGGAACGCCGUCGCUCAACGGAUAAAAGCUACCCCGGGGAUAACAGGCUGAUCUCCCCCAAGAGUCCACAUCGACGGGGAGGUUUGGCACCUCGAUGUCGGCUCAUCGCAUCCUGGGGCUGAAGUAGGUCCCAAGGGUUGGGCUGUUCGCCCAUUAAAGCGGUACGCGAGCUGGGUUCAGAACGUCGUGAGACAGUUCGGUCCCUAUCCGUCGCGGGCGAAGGAAACUUGAGAGGCACUGCCCCUAGUACGAGAGGACCGGGGUGGACGAACCGAUGGUGUACCAGUUGCACCGCCAGGUGCACAGCUGGGUAGCCAAGUUCGGAGGGGAUAAACGCUGAAAGCAUCUAAGCGUGAAGCCCGCCUCAAGAUUAGGUUUCCCACCCGGCACUCAACUAUACUUACUGGAGGAAGGCAAGAUGUAUUAUGUGUAUGUCCUGGCAAAUGAAAAAGGAAAGAUAUAUAUAGGCUAUACGUCUAAUAUAAAGGAAAGGUAUUUAGCGCAUCAACGAAAAGAAGUAAAGAGUACAAGAGAAGGAAAAUGGAGAUUAGUAUACUAUGAAGCAUAUAGAGAUAAAAAAGAUGCGUUGAUAAGGGAGAAACAUUUAAAAAAGUCAGGACAAGGGCGUAGAUGGCUAAAAGAGAGGAUAAAGAAUAGUCUUUCCACUAGUGAGUAGAGUUGAGUGCCGGGGUAAGACACCUCGAAGACCACGAGGUAGAUAGGCCGGGGGUGUAAGAGUGGAAACACUCUUAGCUGACCGGUACUAAUCAGUCGAGGACUUGACCGA